rnacentral:rRNA from 1 species
ACUCCUACGGGAGGCAGCAGUAGGGAAUAUUGGUUCAAUGGGCGAAAGCCUGAACCAGCCCAUGCCGCGUGUCAGAUGAAGGUCCUCUGGAUUGUAAAUGACUUUUCUACGGGAAGAAUGAGCCGUCUGCGGACGGAAGUUGACGGUACCGUAGGAAUAAGCACCGGCUAACUACGUGCCAGCAGCCGCGGUAAUACGUAGGGGUGCAAGCGUUGUCCGGAUUUACUGGGUUUAAAGGGUACGUAGGCGGUUGUGCCAAGUCUGGGGUGAAAGUUUGCAGCUCAACUGUAAAAUUGCCUUGGAUACUGGUCGGCUAGAGUAGUGGAGCGGUGGCUGGAAUUUAUAGUGUAGCGGUGAAAUGCUUAGAUACUAUGAGGAACACCAAUUGCGAAGGCAGGUCACUGGUCACUAACUGACGCUGAAGGUACGAAAGUGUGGGGAUCAAACAGGAUUAGAUA